UUCCAUAAAAAAAAAAGGCAGAACUUUUUUUUUCCCCCUAGUUUCAAAUUCCCUAUAGUUUCUAAGCUAUCUCCAGAAGGUCUUAAGCUUGUAACCCUUUCCAAAUUCCAAUCCUGGCUCAAAUCAUUGUAUCUACUGUUACUUCCUGAGUAUUUAUCAAUCUUGGGAAAAGUUUUAGUAGGGGAGUGGGGUCUACAGUGAUAUAUAGAGUUGGGCUUGCUGGGAUUAAGGGAGGCAUAGCAAUUGCUGGGAUUGGAAUCAUGUUGUGAAUAGGGAAAAAAGAGUUUGGGUUUGUUGGUUUGUGAGUAUGGUGGGUUUUCAUUGAGGAAUCUUUGGGUUUUUAGAUGCGAUGCGAUGCUUUGCUGUUGGUUUGUCAUGGGUCUGAUCGAGGAGGAGCUGGUAGAAGAGGAAGGCAGGGAAUAGAUGGCAGAGCAUUGUGAAAGCGAAAGAUAGAGCAUCGGGAGGCAAACAUCGUGAAAGGGUGUCUUUUAUUACGUUUUUUUUUUUUUUUUUUUUAAUGUUUUUUUUAAUAUUAUGCUAACGUGGAAAUUUGUGGGAGUUUCAAAAGUUUCGGUUUUAUAUUGAUAUAUUGAUGAGUUGAAAAUGUAAGAGACUUUUUAAUGUUCAGUAGUUUAGCAUCAUCAUGGUGGCAAUGUGGCAUUUGUACAUGGUUCAAUCCAAAAUGUAUCCAAAAAAAAGAAAAUCCAAAAUAAUAAGUUUUUUUUAUUAUUUUU